rnacentral:rRNA from 1 species
CGGACGGCCUCGCGCCGCCCGCGGCCCGGACCCAGGCGGCCGCCGGAGACCCCCAAACUCUGUAUUAUCAGCAUUUUCUGAAUCCGCCGCAAGGCAAAACAAAUGAAUCAAAACUUUCAACAACGGAUCUCUUGGUUCUGGCAUCGAUGAAGAACGCAGCGAAAUGCGAUAAGUAAUGUGAAUUGCAGAAUUCAGUGAAUCAUCGAAUCUUUGAACGCACAUUGCGCCCGCCAGCAUUCUGGCGGGCAUGCCUGUUCGAGCGUCAUUUCAACCCUCGACUUCCCUUUGGGGAAAUCGGCGUUGGGGAACCGCCGGCCCCGAAAUGAAGUGGCGGCCCGUCCGCGGCGACCUCUGCGUAGUAAUCCAACUCGCACCGGAACCCCGACGUGGCCACGCCGUAAAACACCCAACUUCUGAACGUUGACCUCGGAUCAGGUAGGAAUACCCGCUGAACAAUUAUAUCAUAAGGCGAGAGGAAA